GCCAAUUCUCAGGGCGGGGUGCAAUUCCCCACCGGUGGUAUCCGGCGUAUGCCGGUAAGCCCACGAGCGCCUCUCCACGGGGAGAGGGUCAGCAGAUCUGGUGAGAGACCAGAGCCGACGGUGACAGUCCGGAUGAAAGAGAAUGCGG
rfam:Desulfovibrio vulgaris subsp. vulgaris str. Hildenborough, complete genome.